rnacentral:rRNA from 1 species
CACAAAUGGGCACAAACCAAAGGAGGGUUCCUUUCGACCCUUACCCCUAAAAGUGGCCCAAGUGGGUUGGGUUAGGGGGGGGUAACGGCUCCACCUAGGGCAGAUUCCUUAGGUGUUUGGAGGGAUGACCACCCCACUUGGAAUUGGACCCCGUUCCAAUUUCUUACGGGAGGCAACAUUGGGAAAUUUGCCCAAUGGCGCCAGCCUGAUCCACCCAUCCCGGGGUAAGAAGAAGGCCUUCGGGUUUUAAAGUCCUUUCAGGGGGGAGGAAGGUUUUGCGGUUAAUAACCGCCGCAAUUGACGUUACCCGCAGAAGAAGCCCCGGCUAAUUCCGUCCCAGCAGCCGCGGUAAUACGGAGGGUGCAAGCGUUAAUUGGAAUUACUGGGCGUAAAGCCCACGCAGGCGGUCUGUCAAGUCGGAUGGGAAAUCCCCGGGCUCAACCUGGGAACUGCAUUCGAAACUGGCAGGCUAGAGUCUUGUAGAGGGGGGUAGAAUUCCAGGUGUAGCGGUGAAAUGCGUAGAGAUCGGGAGGAAUACCGGUGGCGAAGGCGGCCCCCUGGACAAAGACUGACGCUCAGGUGCGAAAGCGUGGGGAGCAAACAGGAUUAGAUACCCUGGUAGUCCACGCCGUAAACGAUGUCGACUUGGAGGUUGUGCCCUUGAGGCGUGGCUUCCGGAGCUAACGCGUUAAGUCGACCGCCUGGGGAGUACGGCCGCAAGGUUAAAACUCAAAUGAAUUGACGGGGGCCCGCACAAGCGGUGGAGCAUGUGGUUUAAUUCGAUGCAACGCGAAGAACCUUACCUACUCUUGACAUCCAGAGAACUUUCCAGAGAUGGAUUGGUGCCUUCGGGAACUCUGAGACAGGUGCUGCAUGGCUGUCGUCAGCUCGUGUUGUGAAAUGUUGGGUUAAGUCCCGCAACGAGCGCAACCCUUAUCCUUUGUUGCCAGCGGUCCGGCCGGGAACUCAAAGGAGACUGCCAGUGAUAAACUGGAGGAAGGUGGGGAUGACGUCAAGUCAUCAUGGCCCUUACGAGUAGGGCUACACACGUGCUACAAUGGCGCAUACAAAGAGAAGCGAACUCGCGAGAGCAAGCGGACCUCAUAAAGUGCGUCGUAGUCCGGAUUGGAGUCUGCAACUCGACUCCAUGAAGUCGGAAUCGCUAGUAAUCGUAGAUCAGAAUGCUACGGUGAAUACGUUCCCGGGCCUUGUACACACCGCCCGUCACACCAUGGGAGUGGGUUGCAAAAGAAGUAGUUAGCUUAACCUUCGGGAGGGCGCUACCACU